rnacentral:rRNA from 1 species
UACAGAGGUGGCGAGCGUUGUUCGGAUUUACUGGGCGUAAAGGGUGCGUAGGCGGUUUCGUGUGUCGGGUGUGAAAUCUCACUGAUCAUCGGUGAAAUUGCACUCGAAACUGCGAGGCUAGAGUACAGGAGGGGAGAGUGGAAUUCUUGGUGUAGCGGUGAAAUGCGUAGAUAUCAAGAGGAACACCGGUGGCGAAGGCGGCUCUCUGGAAUGUUACUGACGCUGAGGCACGAAAGCUGGGGGAGCAAACAGGAUUAGAUACCCUGGUAGUCCCAGCUGUAAACGGUGUGCACUUGGUGUGGGUGGGUUUGUCCCCAUCCGUGUCGGAGCUAACGCGUUAAGUGCACCGCCUGGGGAGUACGGUCGCAAGGCUA